rnacentral:rRNA from 1 species
AACGAACGCUGGCGGCGGGCCUCAUACAUGCAAGUCGAGCGCGAAAGUCCGCAAGGAUGAGUAAAGCGGCGCACGGGUGAGUAACACGUGGAUAAUCUACCCUUUGGAUUGGAAUAACCUGUCGAAAGACGGGCUAAUGCCGAGUAAGCUUACGAGUUCGUGAAGUUCUUGUAAGGAAAGAUGGCGCAAGCUAUCGCCGAUGGAUGAGUCUGCGUCCCAUUAGUUAGUUGGUGGGGUAAUGGCUUACCAAGACUAUGAUGGGUACCUGGUCUGAGAGGAUGACCAGGCACACUGGAACUGAAACACGGUCCAGACUCCUACGGGAGGCAGCAGUGGGGAAUCUUAGACAAUGGGGGCAACCCUGAUCUAGCCAUGCCGCGUGAGUGAUGAAGGCCCUAGGGUUGUAAAGCUCUUUCAGCUGGGAAGAUAAUGACGGUACCAGCAGAAGAAGCCCCGGCUAACUCCGUGCCAGCAGCCGCGGU